CGGGGCGUGAAGAGGAUAUCCGAUAACAAGGCGGCGUCGCACGCUCCGGGAACGAAGCGACGGACCGAGCGCGACGAGGGUUCGGGGCGGAGAUGAUGACCGAGGGUCAGGACGUGCAUGCGGAAUGAGGUGAUUCCUAAAGAUCCAUUCUGCGUGGGAUUUGGGAAGACUGGAGUUCUCCACGGAGGUUCACCAGCCUGGACUCGUUAAGAGAUGAAAAGGUUUGUCGUGCGGAACCCGUUCCUGGAAAUGCCUCACCUGUGGACAAACACCAACGUGAGUCAUUGUGCUGCUGUGAACUCCAAUUGUAACCUACACAAUAAAGUUCCCGUGGAACCGCCAAUGGAGUGUCGUGUCUUCAGCCUUCCUGCCAGGUUUUUUGUUAAUGGUGACUCACAUGUAUUUUGAGCAUUUGCUCUUCCAGGUUUCUUCAAGUCUGUGGUGUCCAAAGUCUUGAGUUCCCCAGUCUGAACUUUAGCUUUGAAGCCUUAUUGUGCCAUCCAAGCUUGUCAAGGUUAACUUUCACAUCAGGACAAUGGGGGGGUCAAUCUUUUUUUGCAAUGUUAACAUUGUAUCAUACAUGUGUAAACUUGAUUCCAGUUUUAAUCUCCAAGACUUGGUGUAUCGCCUGGCCUAAAUGUUUUUUGUAAUGCUAACAUUGCACCAUGUCUAAAGUUAUUUCCCAAGUUUUAAUCUCCAAGACUUGGUGUAUCGCCUGGCCUAAAUGUUUUUUGUAAUGUUAACAUUGCCCCAUGUCUAAAUUUAUUUCCCAAGUUUUAAUCUAGAAGACUCGGUGUAGCGCCUGGCCUAAAUGUUUUUUGUAAUGUUAACAUUGCACCAUGUCUAAACUUAUUUCCCAAGUUUUAAUCUAGAAGACUUGGUGUAUCACCUGGCCUAAAUGUUCUUUGUAAUGUUAACAUUGCAGCAUGUCUAAAUUUAUUUCCCCAGUUUUAAUCUCCAAGACUUGGUGUAGUGCCUGGCCUAAAUGUUUUUUGUAAUGUUAACAUUGCCCAAUGUCUAAAUGUAUUUCCCUAGUUUUAAUCUCCAAGACUUGGUGUAUCGCCUGGCCUAAAUGUAUUUCCCAAAAGGAAAUGUGUUGGGUUUUCCCACAGAGGUCAUGGCCUUUAGAAAUGUUUGAAUAUAGUGCAGGGCCUGAUCAAUGUGGUCUCCAGCAUUGACAAGACUGAUCUUGGCUUGUAUAAUAAACUAAUAA